CAGGAUGAAUGCUGGCGGCGUGCCUAAUACAUGCAAGUCGAGCGGCAGCGAGGGUCUCAUCCUAUUCUGGAAGUUUCGAGAAUAGAAUGAGAUCUGUCGGCGAGCGGCGGACGGCUGAGUAACGCAUGGGAACGCACCCCAAACUGAGGGAUAACUAGUCGAAAGAUUAGCUAAUACCGCAUGUGAUCUUCGGAUUAAAGCUUUCGGGCGGUUUGGGAGCGGCCUGUGUACGAUUAGAUAGUUGGUGAGGUAAUAGCUCACCAAGUCGACGAUCGUUAGAUGGUUUGAGAGGAUGAUCAUCCAGACUGGGACUGAGACACGGCCCAGACUCCUACGGGAGGCAGCAGUAGGGAAUCUUUCACAAUGGGCGAAAGCCUGAUGGAGCCAACGCCGCGUGCAGGAUGAAGGCCUUCGGGUUGUAAACUGCUUUUAUAAGCGAGGAAUAUGACGGUAACUUAUGAAUAAGGAUCGGCUAACUACGUGCCAGCAGCAGC
rnacentral:rRNA from 1 species